UAAACAAAUACGGCAAUUUUAAAAUUAAAAUACGUUUAAACAAUGUUUAAAGACUAAAAUCAAAUAAAACAUUUUAAAAUUUGGUGAUCUAGAUAAAUAUCAUUGAUAUUUACGUGCUAAAUCUCAAUAAAUCCAACCCUUCCAUAUCAAGAACACUGGAGAUUCAAGAAAAAGUAUACAGACUAGUUUUAUUAUAAUUCUCUAUACAUUAAUACUGAAUUUCUGGUCAAGAUUCUUACAAGAAAGAAUAGAGAAUUUAGAAGAGAGAGUGACUUACAAGAAAAAAGAAUUUAAACAGUUUUCGUAACCGCAUGGAUUUAUCAUUACAUCACAAAGGCACAUCCAGUAAAAUGUAAUCCUUGUUGUAUCGAGGAUAUGAUUGGAAAUAUGCUGGAGUACAAUGCCCUAAAAUGGAAUGUUGUAAAUGGAUGAAAAUUGCUCUCACUGAUUUACACAAACAAGACACGCAUGAUUUAGUAGAAGGUACAGAGGUGACUUUAACAAAUUUACAGCAAAGAUUGGACCAGAUUUGAGACCAAAUUUAAAAAAAUUCUAUAGCCUAGGCCUGGUGUAGAAUAUAGAAUUUAUUUAAUGCUAAGAUGGUCUAUAAUGGCCAUAUAUUAAUAUGAUUAUUAUUUUAUACUCUUUAAAAAGAAAAUCAUAAUUAAGGAAUUAUAUUAAGACUGUGUUAAGACAACUCAAAUUUGUUAACUAAAAUAUGAUGACAGUGACCGAGCGGACAUUAGUUUUAAUCAUCUGAAGAUCAAGCUAACUCGGUGAGCAAUGAUGAUGCGUUUUGAUGUAUUGUGGUCAAUUAGUGUUUUAUUUUGCUCUAGGAAACCUUGUAUUAUUUAUAGAGCCUUAAUAUUGCAGACGAUUUAACAAAUAAAACUUUGAUAAUUUUGAA